rnacentral:rRNA from 1 species
CAAUAGCGUAUAUUUAAGUUGUUGCAGUUAAAAAGCUCGUAGUUGGAUUUCGGAUGGGACUUGCCGGUCCGUCGUUUCGAUGUGCACUGGCCAGUCCUAUCUUGUUGUCGGGGACUAGCUCCUGGGCUUCACUGUCCGGGACUAGGAGCUGACGAGGUUACUUUGAGUAAAUUAGAGUGUUCAAAGCAAGCCUACGCUCUGAAUACAUUAGCAUGGAAUAACACGAUAGGACUCUGGCUUAUCUUGUUGGUCUGUGAGACCAGAGUAAUGAUUAAGAGGGACAGUCGGGGGCAUUCGUAUUUCAUUGUCAGAGGUGAAAUUCUUGGAUUUAUGAAAGACGAACUUCUGCGAAAGCAUUUGCCAAGGAUGUUUUCAUUA